GAUUUUGGAAGAUUCCUGGUGUUCUUCAAAAUUACCCCCAAUUAUCUUAGGGCUUCUUCUAGGUUUCCCGCGACAAUAUGGAAGCUGAAGGUCAAAACACUGCCACAAAUCCGUCCGCAAUGCUCGCCGGUCUUCUAACCAGGAAAGCAAAACUCCACGACGAACUUUGGACUAUCGAGAAGCAGGAAACAAGCACCAGCAAGGACAUCUCUCGUCAUCAUUGAAGUGUUUGUGAGUAUAAUUUGUGAGCAGUGGGUUGGAUUGGUUUCUGCUUGAUGAACCUUGUUUUUGUGCCUAAGCCUUGUGGCUUAUUCAUCUCACAUUGCUACUCUACUCUUUUCGGGCGUGAUCUUUAUCCACCUCAGCGUCUCCUCCAUAUUCUUCAGCACGCCAUCAAUCAACAAUCUCAGAAGUUCAUCCGCGAAUCUCAUGCGCAGGUUAUUACUCAUGGGUUGGAACAAAAUAAUUUCUUGAUAACUAAACUUAUCUCUGCGUACUCAACUUGUGGUGACCUUAAUGAGUCAACUCUCAUAUUUGACUUGGUUUCAACUAGGACUGUUUGCAUAUGGAACUCCUUGAUUAAUGGGUAUGUUAAGAAUUGUGUGUUCCAUGGGGCAUUUCAUCGUUUUAAUGAAAUGCAGCAAUGCGACGUAGUGCCGGAUGACUUUACACUAUCCACAUUGGCAAAAGCAUCCAGCGAGCUUAGGAAUGUGACUGUUGGGAAAUCGAUUCAUGGGAAGAUUGUUCGACUUGGGUUCAUAUUUGACAUUGUUGCUGCUAAUUCCCUCAUAUCUAUGUAUUUCAAGUAUGGGGAGUGCAAAGAAUCCUUAAAGCUAUUUGAUGAAAUGCCAGAAAGAAAUUCUGGUUCAUGGAAUGUCCUGUUGGCUGGCUAUGCAAGUUCUAAUGAUUGUUUCUAUGUUAAAGAAGCGUGGGACAUUGUUGUUAGAAGCAUGCAGAUAGAUGGAGUAAAACCCGAUGCGUUUACUAUUUCGAGUCUUCUGCCUUUGUGUGGCAAUCCCAUUGGGAAAUUGAAUUAUGGGAAAGAGCUCCAUUGUUAUAUAGUGAAGAACGAAUUGGAUCUUGAUUUUGGUUCAAAUGUUCAUCUAGGUUGCGGCUUGAUUGACAUGUACUCGAGGGACAAUAAGAUCACUGCUUCUAGGCAUGUAUUUGACCAAAUCAAGCGUAGAAAUAUUUAUGUUUGGACAGCAAUGGUAAGAGGUUAUGUACAAAAUAAAGAUCCAGAUAAGGCAUUGAUUCUUUUCCAGGAAAUGCAGAUGAGAGAUGGAAUAUUACCAAAUAGAAUAUCCCUUAUUAGUCUUCUCCCGGCUUGUAAUUCACUUGCUGGAUUAAUGAAUGGAAAACAAAUCCAUGGUUUUGCCAUCAGAAAAGGAUUCAAUGAUGAUGCAUCUUUGUGUAAUGCUCUAAUUGAUAUGUAUUCAAAAUGUGGUAGCUUGGAGAAGGCAAGAAAAGUGUUUGAAUCUGAUUCCUUUCGUAAAGAUACAAUCUCUUGGACUACAUUAAUUUCUGCUUAUGGGUUACACGGACAGGGCAAGGAAUCCAUAAGGUUGUAUAACGAUAUGAUCAAGCUCGGUAUCAAGCCAGAUCAGAUAGCUGUAGUCGGAGUUUUAUCCGCUUGUAGUCGGUCUGGUUUAAUAAAGGAAGGUCUCCAAUUAUACAGCACUGCAGUUCAGGACUAUAGAGUCAAACCAACUGCCGAGAUCUGUGCUGUUAUAGUUGACAUGUUGGGCAAUAUGGGCGAACUCGAACAAGCAUUGAAUUUUAUCAAAACGAUGCCAGUAGAACCCGGUCCCAGCGUCUGGGGAGCCCUUGUUUCUGCUUCAAUAAGAUACAAGGACUACAAGAUGUUGGAAUUGGCAUACAGAUCUCUUAUUGAGUUAGAACCGGAAAAUCCUUCUAAUUUCAUCUCACUGUCAAAUUUGUAUGCUUCUGCUAGCAGAUGGGAUCUGGUAGCUGAGCUUAGACACACCAUGAAGGAAAGAGGUCUGAGGAAGUCUCCUGGUUGUAGUUGGAUUAACAUUAAUACAAAGACCCAUUGUUUUCAUGUUGCUGAUAAAGCACAUCCAAGUUCCAAGUUGAUUUAUGAAGUUUUAGAUCAUAUUUUCAGUACAAUGAAUGAACCUAUUUCUGAUGAUUUAGAGUAUUGGAUCUAAUCACUUGGGUAUUUCCGGAUCACCAGUAUUCUUAUUGUAGUUAUAGAUCCCAUAUUGGCAUGGCUAUUGAAAUCAUUUAUUUCCCUCUAUUCUAGCUUCAGAUUUGGCUUAAGCGCUUUUGUGGGCUACGGGUGGAGGGCUAUGAGAUCAUUCACUCAAUCUCAGGAAAAGAACUCCGUAAGCCUUAGUUGGAAGCUAAACCAAAGCUAAGCUUGUAGGCCGUAGAGAGCCAUUUUGCAGGUAUACCCACGGAUCUAUGUUCUUGAACAGUCUCGAAGAAAGCCACUGCGGUAAGGGAAAGAUUCAUUUCGUAGGCUUGAUAUGAUACAUACAGUUCAGUUCUCUUCCAAUCCUAAUUUGAGGUCAUAGUCGAAGUCUAAAAUAGUCUCUUCAUCUCUUCCUACUAUAACUCAUGAUUAGAAAUUUUAUAAAGUUGUCACGUAAAAGUUUAUUGUGACAUAGAACCUUUUCGGGAUCUUGAAAAGGGUGGUUGUCAACGUCGAGAUUCCAAGCAUAUUGUGACAUCUGCAACUCUGUAUACUCAAACGUUCGCAAACUUCUUUGGAAGGUUCCCAAGUUUCACAUCUAUGAGACGAGAUCGAGGCAGCUAGUCGAACAGCUCAUUGCAGCCCCAAUAAAAGGGGUGCCCAAACUUUUGAUAAAUGAAAAAUAUUGUAAAAGUUCGUGAGAAAAAAAAAAUAAUUAGAGGAUUAUUAAAUAGGAUAUUUUUCAUUGUAUUUUAAAAUUUUAUUAGUGUAUAAAGGACUCGAUUGAAAUAUUAUUUUAAAAAU